GUGGGGAAACCUGGAGGGAAAAAUGGAACUGAUCAGGUGCAUUUCAAUUGGGCCGUGGUAUUUUAGGCAACACCUCUGCUGGAGAGGUUGUUGCCUGCAAAACCGGAUGAAGGCAGUGCUGUCAGGGCUUGGUGCUCCGUGAACAGCCACCUGGGGUCUGCACGUGUCUUCUGCCUCCACCCACCCCCGCUCAAACCCCCUUCCCAGCACCUCCCUCUCUGCAAGGUUCCGGAGUGGCCACCCACAGAGCAGCUCUGGGCUGGGCGCUGAGUCAUGAGGCUGUGGUGCCUGCCAGGGGGCGAGGGUGGCAGAUGGCUUCAUGUGGGCGUGAGUGAGGAGGGGGGCAGAUGGGAGGGGCAGUGACCCUGGGCCCAGCAGAGAUCCAGGGAAGUGGCCUGGGAGUUCUGGGGCCAGCAUUGAACGCAAGGUGUCAGCAAGUCUCCUGCCAGAGGUCCUGACGGAGGGGCUGUUCCAGGCCAUGCUCCUGGCUUCCGGUGGUUGCCGGCAACCCUGUGCAUUCCCUGCUUGUAGAGAUGAGAAAAUGGAGGUACCAAAAAGUGGGCUCUGAACUGCAGAGCCUGGCUCCAGAGCCCUUGUAUUUGACUACUGGGAUCCACCGUUAUUCUCACAGCCGCGUUUCCCACAGGGCUGCUUUGUAUGGCCUCUUAGAAAAGUCCUGCCUGUCUCCACCAUCCAGACUAUGAUGUCCGUGAGGUCAGAGGAAAGGGAGAAUGUCUCACAUACAGAAAAUGCUUGAUCAACAUUGAUGGAAUCAUAAAUGGGCCUCAGCGGCACCUGUCCUGAGUCAGCAUCUCACAGAGGUUUUGCCAGCGCCAGCCACAUCUCCAGCAUGAAGGUCCUCUUAUCUGCAGAUCUCAAAGCACUGAAAAGCUCAGAUAUUGUUUGUGGAGUGAGAAUUUGCCUGGACCAAGAGCUCUGCAGCCCAAGUCAAGACCAGCUGAAGCCCUCUUGCUCACAACUGGGGCUCACACACUCGCUACCUUACUCACCCAGGCCUGGGGGCCUGGCUUUGUCCCUGCCACGCCCCUGCUCAGCCACAGACACUGAGAGCCAUAGUCUUUGUCACUCAAGACCAAUUCAGCCAAUGGCCAGAGCACCUAAGGGGGCUCCCCACCCCUGUAAGUGUCCCACUUGGUGGGCCAGGCUAGGAAUGUGGGCAGAUGGGAGGAACCCUGGCUUGAGAUCCAGUAGGCCUUGAUUCUCAAAGCUGGCCACUUAUUGGAUUGAUGUAGCCCUUCUCCCACCCAGGCCUCUAUGUCC
rnacentral:lncRNA from 1 species